AGGGCCGCCGGGAGCGGAAGUGGCCGGCGCACUGGCACUCUUGGCCGGAGGAACUUGCAGCGGUGGCGAAAAGGUUGACCUCUUAAUCUAUCCUCAGAGAAGAAAUUCUAAUUUCCUUCCUGGGGAGAGGAAUGGGGUUAGGCUCUGGGGUGGGGUCACACUGGACCUGGAGAGUGGGGUUAGGGACGGGGCGUAAGCCUGAUGGACUGAGCUAAGGACCAAGCCGGAUGCGCGGGGAAUGGAACGGAGCAUGGGCUUGGUGGGUGGAUUGGGGCUGGGCCUCGCUGGCAUGUUGGGAUGCACAUUUUUUGACUUUUCUCUUUCCCUUCCUUUCUCCCGCCUCAGCCUUUCUCCUUUGGCUUCAUCCAAUCCCCUGCCCCCCCCCCCAAAAAAAAAUCCAUAGGUAAGAUAUUUUUGGUUUAGAAUUUCUGAUUUCUUAUAAAAAUAGGAUUAUAUGUUCUAUUUCUUCUACAACUUGCCUUUCUCACUGAAAAUAAGAUGUGAAAAUCUAUUCAACACAGGGAACUAUAUCUAAUCACUCGUGAUAGAACAUGAUGCAAGAUAAUGUGAGAAAAAAUGUUAUGUGUAUAUGUAUGUAUGUAUGACCAGGUCACUUUGCUGUAACUGCAGAAGUUGACAACAUUAUAAAUGUUAUGUGUAUAUGUGUGUAUGACUGGGUCACUUUGCUGUAAUUGCAGAAGUUGACAACAUUAUAAAUCAACUAUAAUUUUUAAGUUUUUUAAAAAUCUGUUCUAGACAAUGGAAGAGCCGACUUCAUAAAAUUAUGUAUUUGUUAUGUAGUAUAGAUAAUACAUGCACAUAGGAAAACUGGGGGUUUCUCCCUCUAUGCCUUAGUUUUCUCCCCAGAAACAAACCACUGUGACUGGUUCCCUGAUAUCCUUUAUAUUUCAAGCACUAUGUGUGUAUUACUUCUCCCAAUAACCUAUAUUGGGAGUUCCCUGGUGGUCUAGUGGUUAGGACUUAAGGCUGUCACGGCUGCAGCCCGGGUUCAAUCCCUGGUCUGAGAACUGAGAUUCCACAUCAAGCCACUGCAUGCUGCAACCAAAAAAUAAUAAUAUAGAGCAAUCAGUUAAUUGCUACAUGCUAAGGUUACAAAGCCCCUUCCUGCACAGGCACUACAAGUGGAGGAUUUAAGGGAAGAUAUAUAUGUAGAGAGAGAGAUGAGGUUGAUCCAUGCCGAUAAAACUAAACGCAAUGUUCUGUGUGAUAUAUUAGCAGAAUAUUUAUUUUUAAAAAAACUAGUGAGAUACAGAGGAGAAAUCAUAAAACUUGGCAUAGUUGGUUGAAAGUAGAUCUUGAAGGAUGAAUAUCAAGUCAUGCAGAAUGGUUAGUGCAGUGCAUGAGAAAUGUUGCACCUUAGGGGUAUAGUGUGAGCAAAAACACCAAGGUAAGGAGGAAAUACUUGUUUUGGGAACACUGAGUAAUGAGUUAUGCCUAAAGAUUAUGUGCAAGAUAAAACUUUGAGGUUAGUUUUAGAUAAUUUCAGCCUGAGGAUAUAGGAAAUAAGACAUUCUUUUAGUAAAGUAACAAAGUUUCUGAUUCCCUGACAAGUGACUUGAGCACAUAUCUUGGGACUUUGAGCUUGUUACUCUUUUUUUUUUUUUUUUUUUUUUUUUUUCCCCCUAAGCUCUCUGUCUUAUAUAGAAGCAACCAACUGGCUUUGCAGUCCUUGAAUUCCUCAUUUGCUCCUUGGACUUAUGAGAGUUGCCAUAAGCAUAUGUCAUUGAUCCAAGGCACCUUCUGUUUGGGACCACUUGCUCACACCUCAGCUCUGUCUUCAUCAGCAUCAGGGAAGCCUAACAUGGCAGAGAGAAAAACACAAGAUAUACAAGCAUUGUGUACCCUAGCACUCAAUGUGGUCUGUCCACUCACACCUAAGUGUUAAUUUACUAUCUCUCCUUUUGUUUCUCACUGUGUUUUAAGUUUAUUUGGUAAACCAUAAGCAUUUCAAUUUGGCCUGUUAGCCUUUCUAUUCUGUGACCUCCAGCAUGGCUUGCCUGGUGAUAUAGUCAGAGGCUGUCAUUGCAUUAAGGUUAUUUACCAAUGACAGGCACAGACACUGAUGUGGCCAGACACUGAUGUGGUGCUGGAUACUAACUCUUGAUCCUUUGGCACUAGUACCCCCCAAAAAUCUUGUAUAGCUGUUACUACCCUCACCAACAUGGGUCCCCUAAAAUUCUUGCCUUAUGCACUGCUAGAUUAGGAUUCAAGUGAUGUUGCAUCUGCUUCCAGGAACCUAGCCCUUUGCUACAAGGGAGGCAAGAAAGGGCAAGAUCUGACUUCUAGAAUGAGAAGCAUAGUGAUGAAUUGAGCUGUGCAGUCAAAAAAGAAAGACAGAUGUUGCCUACAAUUGAUCUGGCCUACCAUCCUUCUCUCUGCAUAAAUGCAGACAGAGAUAAAUGGAAGGCUGGUCCAACUAAUGAUUAUGAUUGUACCUGGGAGGUGAGCUUUUGCAUUAUUCAUUGUUUUAUCCUUUAGACUUGACUGUAUGGGAGGUGUAGGACUAAAAUUAAGGUCCAGGAAUUACCAUUGUGGCUCAGCAGGUUAAGAACCCAACAUAGUCUCUGUGAGGAUGCAGGUUAGAUCUCUGCCCUUGCUCAGUGGGUUAAGGAUCCAGUGUUACCACAAGCUGCAGCACAGGUUGCAGAUGUGGCCCAGAUCCGGUAUUGCCACGGCUGUGUCAUUAACCUGCAGCUGCAGCUCCAGUUCAGCCCCUCACCUGGGAAAUUCCAUAUGUCACAGCUGUGGCCAUAAAAAGAAAAAAUUAAGGUGCUGCCUUGGCAUUUGGGGAAAACUGGGAUGGCUUCGAAUGGUCUAACCAUAAGUUCACCUCCUCAGUGUACUCCCACAGAAAUGAUCCCCUAGCCAAACAAUCCUCCUUAUCACAGUUCCAGCUGAUCCCUGAGUGCAGGCUUCAGUGUCCUGCCAGCCUGCAAAAUUAUUCAAACAAACCAUUCAUAACCACCCAUGGGAACCAGAGGGCCCUUCAUCCACUUGUUGCUACAAAGCCUGCCUCUGACAGCUCCUGGCUGUUCACUCUGUUGCUAAGUUUAGGUCCUGGGACCCUGCAUGAUGUGGUACCUUCCCAUCCCCCAGAACUAUGAGUAUAUGUGACUAAUAAAGUACCAUCGGCC
rnacentral:lncRNA from 1 species